AAAUUACUUAUCAUAAAUAGUAAUAACGGUCCAUAUGGUAUAUAAUAGAAAAGACAAGUGUCCGCAUUGAGUAUCCAAACCCAUGCUCCUCUAUAAGUUCCCUCGACAGUCAACACUCUUACCAUGUUUGUGUGAUUUUUUCCUUUUGGUAAGUGCCUCAAUCACAACUUCGGAUGAAGACACAAUAUCUCUCCUUGUUACC
rnacentral:lncRNA from 1 species